rnacentral:rRNA from 1 species
AUUGAACGCUGGCGGCAUGCCUAACACAUGCAAGUCGAACGCGAAAGAGGGGCAACUCUUGAGUAGAGUGGCGGACGGGUGAGUAAUACGUAGGAAUCUGCCUUGAAGUGGGGGAUAACCACGCGAAAGCGUGGCUAAUACCGCAUAAUCUCUUCGGAGCAAAGCAGGGGAUCGCAAGACCUUGCGCUUUUAGAUGAGCCUACGCCGGAUUAGCUAGUUGGUAGGGUAAUGGCCUACCAAGGCGACGAUCCGUAGCUGGUCUGAGAGGACGACCAGCCACACUGGGACUGAGAUACGGCCCAGACUCCGACGGGAGGCAGCAGUGGGGAAUAUUGGACAAUGGGCGAAAGCCUGAUCCAGCAAUGCCGCGUGUGUGAUGAAGGCCUGCGGGUUGUAAAGCACUUUCAGUGGGGAAGAAAUACUCGAAGCUAAUACCUUUGAGGGUUGACGUUACCCAAAGAAGAAGCACCGGCUAACUCUGUGCCAGCCGCCGCAGUAA